AUUCAGCAAUCAUGUUGCAAAGACACUGUUUGUCUUUAAAAUAGCAACACUUAAAACAAAAAUUAUUGUUGUUAUCUCUUUCAGACUGAAUUUAAACUUCAAGCAGGUAUUUCCUUUCAUUUUUCUCUUUCAAGAGGAAACCUUGUUGGAAACAUGGGACUGAUGACAGGCUCUUGAGAGGAAGAGCAUCUGCUGUAUUCUGUCUGCUGGACACCACCAACCCUGAGCCAAGGGAUCACCUGAGAAGAAUGAGAUCUUUGAGAUCUAACACAUGAAAAUUCCACGUGACAAAGAAUUCAAGGAACUCAAAUUGCAUUUAAUGACAUUGCAUUGCUUCAUCUUAGACUUCAACAUCAGACAGAGGAAAAUCAGAAAAUAGAAAUUAAAAAAUAGACUGAGUCUAUAUGUUGAAUGAAGAUGUUUAUCUUCAUUCAAUUACAGCAAUUACACUAAGGAAACCUGGCAGUGAAGAGAAUUACUCAUUCUUUUCCUGGGGAAGAGAUUUACAGGCUUCCUUCCAGAGGAGGGUGACGAAGAUGGUGAAGGGCCUAGAGGGGAAGACAUAUGAGGAGCGGCUGAGGUCACUGGGCCUGUUCAGCCUGGAGAAGAGGAGGCUGAGGGGAGGUCUCAUCGCAGUCUACAACUUCCUCGCGAGGGGGAGUGGAGGGGCAGGGGACCUAUUCUCCGUAAACACCAGUGACAGGACCCGCGGGAAUGGUGUUAAGCUGAGGCAGGGGAAGUUUAGGCUGGACAUCAGGAAGAGGUUCUUCACUGAGAGGUUGGUUGCACACUGGAACAGGCUCCCCAGUGAAGUAGUCACUGCACCAAGCCUGUCUGAAUUUAAGAAGUGAUUGGACUGUGCACUUAGUCACAUGGUCUAAACUUUUGGGUAGACCUGUGCAGUGCCAGGAGUUGGACUCGAUGAUCCUUAUGGGUCCCUUCCAACUCGGGAUAUUCUAUGAUUCUAUGAUUCUUGUCACUAUGCUUCUGUGAUAAAUCUCAGGACAAUAUAACUCUACUGUUUACCUGCUUAGACAGUGACACCCACUAGACAAAUGAUGUACAGCACCUGAAAAUAUAUAAAAAAAAAAAAAAAGAUAAAAGAAACAAGAAACAACUUAAAAUAAGAGG
rnacentral:lncRNA from 1 species